rnacentral:rRNA from 1 species
GAUGAACGCUGGCGGCGUGCCUAAUACAUGCAAGUCGAGCGAACGGACGAGAAGCUUGCUUCUCUGAUGUUAGCGGCGGACGGGUGAGUAACACGUGGAUAACCUACCUAUAAGACUGGGAUAACUUCGGGAAACCGGAGCUAAUACCGGAUAAUAUUUUGAACCGCAUGGUUCAAAAGUGAAAGACGGUCUUGCUGUCACUUAUAGAUGGAUCCGCGCUGCAUUAGCUAGUUGGUAAGGUAACGGCUUACCAAGGCAACGAUGCAUAGCCGACCUGAGAGGGUGAUCGGCCACACUGGAACUGAGACACGGUCCAGACCCCUACGGGAGGCAGCAGUAGGGAAUCUUCCGCAAUGGGCGAAAGCCUGACGGAGCAACGCCGCGUGAGUGAUGAAGGUCUUCGGAUCGUAAAACUCUGUUAUUAGGGAAGAACAUAUGUGUAAGUAACUGUGCACAUCUUGACGGUACCUAAUCAGAAAGCCACGGCUAACUACGUGCCAGCAGCCGCGGUAAUACGUAUGUGGCAAGCGUUAUCCGGAAUUAUUGGGCGUAAAGCCGCGCGUAGGCGGUUUUUUAAGUCUGAUGUGAAAGCCCACGGCUCAACCGUGGAGGGUCAUUGGAAACUGGAAAACUUGAGUGCAGAAGAGGAAAGUGGAAUUCCAUGUGUAGCGGUGAAAUGCGCAGAGAUAUGGAGGAACACCAGUGGCGAAGGCGACUUUCUGGUCUGUAACUGACGCUGAUGUGCGAAAGCGUGGGGAUCAAACAGGAUUAGAUACCCUGGUAGUCCACGCCGUAAACGAUGAGUGCUAAGUGUUAGGGGGUUUCCGCCCCUUAGUGCUGCAGCUAACGCAUUAAGCACUCCGCCUGGGGAGUACGACCGCAAGGUUGAAACUCAAAGGAAUUGACGGGGACCCGCACAAGCGGUGGAGCAUGUGGUUUAAUUCGAAGCAACGCGAAGAACCUUACCAAAUCUUGACAUCCUUUGACAACUCUAGAGAUAGAGCCUUCCCCUUCGGGGGACAAAGUGACAGGUGGUGCAUGGUUGUCGUCAGCUCGUGUCGUGAGAUGUUGGGUUAAGUCCCGCAACGAGCGCAACCCUUAAGCUUAGUUGCCAUCAUUAAGUUGGGCACUCUAAGUUGACUGCCGGUGACAAACCGGAGGAAGGUGGGGAUGACGUCAAAUCAUCAUGCCCCUUAUGAUUUGGGCUACACACGUGCUACAAUGGACAAUACAAAGGGCAGCGAAACCGCGAGGUCAAGCAAAUCCCAUAAAGUUGUUCUCAGUUCGGAUUGUAGUCUGCAACUCGACUACAUGAAGCUGGAAUCGCUAGUAAUCGUAGAUCAGCAUGCUACGGUGAAUACGUUCCCGGGUCU